GACGAACGCUGGCGGCGUGCCUAAUACAUGCAAGUAGAACGCACAGUUUAUACCGUAGCUUGCUACACCAUAAACUGUGAGUUGCGAACGGGUGAGUAACGCGUAGGUAACCUGCCUGGUAGCGGGGGAUAACUAUUGGAAACGAUAGCUAAUACCGCAUAAUAUUGAUUAUUGCAUGAUAAUUGAUUGAAAGAUGCUAUUGCAUCACUACCAGAUGGACCUGCGUUGUAUUAGCUAGUAGGUGAGGUAACGGCUCACCUGGGCGACGAUACAUAGCCGACCUGAGAGGGUGAUCGGCCACACUGGGACUGAGACACGGCCCAGACUCCUACGGGAGGCAGCAGUAGGGAAUCUUCGGCAAUGGACGAAAGUCUGACCGAGCAACGCCGCGUGAGUGAAGAAGGUUUUCGGAUCGUAAAGCUCUGUUGUAAGAGAAGAACGGGUGUGAGAGUGGAAAGUUCACACUGUGACGGUAUCUUACCAGAAAGGGACGGCUAACUACGUG
rnacentral:rRNA from 1 species